GCCGGGCGUGCUGGUGCGUGCCUGUAAUCCCAGCUACUGGGGAGGCUGAGGCAGGGGAAUCGCUUGAACCCGGGAGGCAGAGGCUGCAGUGAGCCGAGAUCGCGCCACUGCACUCCAGCCUGGGCGACAGAGCGAGACUCCGUCUCAA
rnacentral:SRP_RNA from 2 species